CCGCGCAAACAAUAAUCCGUCUCCAUUUUCUCCCCACAUCCAGUUGUAGCUCGGGGCUGAUAAAAUACUGUACUGCUCUUGCUUUUUUGAAAACCAUUUGAAUAUUUCUUUGGCAGGAAAUCGCAUUAUGGGCUAUUAAAAAGUAAUUAUUUGUACAUAAAUUCCCCCGCGACUCGGCGGCGGAAGCGGCUCGAUACAAAGGCAGUUAGGAGCCGCUCUUUACGGGCGCGAGGCGCGUUUAUUAAAAAAGCGCGCGGCUCCUCCAUCAUUCGGCGCGCGACUGCGCGUGUCAGCCACCUCAUAUUUUGUAGCUCAUGCUAAUGUAAUUGCCGCGGCUUUAGCACUGUCAGUGCGGACGGGAGGCGCUCAUUAGCAUUCUUACAAAUGUUUAUUUCGUCGGGUUUUCGUCGGGACGCGCAGGCCCUCAACUCCGGAGAUAUUAGCGCUCUGCUACAACUGCACGCGAGGGGAGCAGCUCCAGAACAUCUCUGUGUACAACGCCUUGGGCAGGGACAAGCAGGCAGGCAGGCAGGCGCAGGGCAGAAACGCACUCUGGAUGGGCCACCGAUCCAUCAUAGAUCAUCUUUUCAGGAGCCAGUGAUGGAGGAGCUGACAGAUGCCUGCCACUCCACAGAGCUGCAACAUGCAGAGCAAUCACACCACAGGCAGCGUCGAUUCAACUUGGGAGGGUGGAAACACCUUGUUGAUGAGAGAUGUCAGAAGAGAAUGGCCAGACUGGUUUGAGCUGAUAGAAGGGCUACGGUAACUCAAAUAACCACUCUUUACAACCAUGGUGAGCAGAAAAGCAUCUAAGAAACACUUUGAAACUUAAGCCUUUACAUCUGCAGACCACAUUAGAAUGCAUUCCUGUCAGAGAAAAAAACAGGAAUCUAAGAAUACAGUGGCACUGAAACUUGACAGUUGAAGAUUGAUAAAACAUUGCCUGAUCUUUUUCCAAUCUUCACCUGCCCAGUUUUAAGUCAAGUACUUAUAUAACUUUACUUCUUGAAUGUGACAACAAGAAGACUUGGAUGUGAGCGCUGCUGCCUGGGACUUGAUUUGAUGUAAGGUACUUGACAACAAAAUAACUAAAAUAAAUUGCGUACUUUAUAACACAAGCAAUGCCAUGUUCCAAAAAAAACUGAAUACUCUAAAAGGCCAGAAGAGGCCAGUAAAUACUUUGUGUAUAUUUACACUUUUUGCAUAAAUAAGAGUUAAAAGUGUCAGUGUCAGUUGUUUGAUAGUAAUUAAAGAUUUGUAUUUCAGAAUAAGUUAGCCUGGCUGGUAACAAAAUCAAGUGCAAAAUAUGCAUAAAUUGUAAAUAAGUCUUCUAUAACCUCCAGACAGGAGUUUGGCUGCAAAGUCACAUUGGAUCUUGUUAUGUCUGCAGAAAAGUGAGCACUUUAUUUAACAUAAAGCAUCGCCUGCGAUUAAGUAUGGUGACGAGAGUGUGAUGACUCAGGAGUACUUUGUUGCUUUAUGUAAUUAUUGACCAAAAUGCUAAUUGUGUUAAACCCCAUAUAGUAAAAAAGACUUUGUGAGCUGCUUACAUCAAGGCCUAGAUGCACAAUGAACAAGUCCAUUUUAGCUUUGUUGAAAAAAAAAGAGGGUUAGUUUUAGUGUCAUUUACAUCGGAUGUAAAUCCACUAAGAUAAUGCAGCAUAACAUGGAUUGAAUUGCUUUUAAUGGGAUUAUUGGAUAUGGGUCUAGUUCCAUGAAUGUUCUAAAGUUUGUGUAUGUGUAAAUGUGUGUGUAUAAACAAUGCAGAUGUGGCAUAACAUGGUUUAAAAUGACUAUUUGGAUAUGGGUUCAGUUAUUGUACUAAAGUCUGUGUAUACAGUCCCCUCUGAAAUUAUUGGAAUGGCAAGGCCAAUUCUUUUUUUUUUUUUUUUUUUUUUGGCUAUACGCUGAAGACAUUUGGGUUUGAUAUCAAAAGAUGAAUAUGAGACAAUAGAUCAGAAUUUCAGCUUGCAUUUCCUGUUAUUUACAUCUACACGUGUUAAACAACUUAGAACAUGGCACCUUUGGUGGCACACCACACAAUUUUAGGCAAGCAAAAGUAUAGGAACAGAUUUACAGUCUGAAAGUAAAUAAUACUUAAUAUUUGGUUGCAUAUCCCCUCCUUGCAAUAACUGCUUCAAUUGACCUACAUCACCAAACUGUUGUAUUCUUCUUUUGUGCUGCUUUUCCAGGUUCGUACCACAGCUUCUUUCAGUUGUUAUUUGUUUUGGUGGGUUUCUAUGUUCAGUCUUCUCUUCAGGAGGUGAAAUGCAUUCUCAGUUGGGUUAAGGUCUGGUGAUUGACUUGGCCAGUCUAAAACUGACCACUUUUUUCCCCUGAUAAAGUCCUUUGUUGUUUUGGGAGUGUGUUUUGGAUUAUUGUCUUGCUGCAUGAUGAAGUUUCUCCCAAUUAGAUAGGAUGCAUUUCUCUGUAAAUUAGCAGACAGAAUGUUUCUGUAGAUUUCUGAAUUCAUUCUGCUGCUACCAUCAUGAGUUACAUAAUCAAUAAAGAUUAGUGAGUCCAUUCCAGAAGCAGCCACGCAAGCCCAAGCCAUGACACUACCUCCACCAUGCUUAACCAAUAAACUCAUAUGUUUUGGAUCAUGAGCAGAUCCUUUCUUUCUACACACUUUGGCCUUUCCAUCACUUUGGUAGAGGUUAAUCUUAGUUACAGAACUUUUGUAAAUACAUCUCUGUAUUCCUUUGUAAAUUCCACUCUGGCCUUAUGAUUCUUACUGCUGAUGAGUGGUUUGAAUCUUGUGUUAGGGCCUCUAUAUUUCUGUCAAAGUCUUCUUCGAACAGUGCCCUGCGCUGUGGAGGCUGUUGGUAAUGUCACUGACUGCUGUUUUUUGGGUUUUCUUCACAGCUCUCACAAGGGUUCUGUCAUCACCUGCUGUUGUUUUCCUUGGCUGAUCUGUUCCAUGUCUGGUUGUUAAUACACCAGUGGUUUCUUUCUUUUUCAGGACAUUCCAAAUUGUUAUUGUCAUUGGCUAGGCCCAAUGCUUGCAGGCUCUGAUCCAUUGUCCCUCUUUUCUCAACUUCAAAAUGGCUUGUUUUUCUCCCAUAGACAGCUCUCUGGUCUUCAUGUUGGUUUAUCCUUUUUAACAAGUGCAGCCUUCACAGGUGAAACUCAAGACUAGACAUUCAGAGCUAUUAAUUAUUUAAACAGUCAAUCUAACAGGGAAUACCUGGGCAACAAGAAACACCUGUCAGUCACAUGUUCCAAUAUUUUUAAUCUCUUGAAAAAUGGAUAGGUUCAAACAAAAGGUGCCAUGUUCUAAGAUGUUUAACACAUCUACACUAGAUAUAAACUUUAGGAGGGGACUGUAUGUGUGAAUGUGUGUAGUAACAUUGCAGAAAGUGGCAGAAGCAACACCUUGUGGAGAGUAGAAUUAAAGAUGAUGAACAACUAGAAAGCUUGAGUCUACAAGAUGAGUGCACACAUGCACACUGACACAUACGUUAUGCAUAAAGGGAAACUAAUAAAGACAUUAAAGACCCAUUAAUUAAAGGCCUGGAAGUAUAGCUAGUGUUAGGUACAAGAAAAAUCUGGAAGGUGUGAACAUAGCACCCUCAUUGGCUGGUUUGUGAUAUGUAAAGUCUUUUGUUUGUUGAUAAAAAUAAAAAUUCACUUCCUGCCACUCUUUUAUAGAUGCUGUUUCUUGAGCGAUAUGUUCAAAGUCUUCUGCAGGCCUUCAUAUAUGAAGGUGUGUACUGCAGGGACGACUGGUGAAGCUAAGCUGUUUGUGCACAGAGAGCUGUGAUUCAUUAUGACCAAGUCCAGUCAUGACAAAUAUGCUUUGUCAUCAGAAAGACAGACUCUUCUGUGCCUAGACAAACUCCAUUCCUCUCUUCCCCCCCACUCAUAUAAACAGGUGCGCAGGGAUAGAGGUGAGGAUCCAUCACACACACACAC